rnacentral:rRNA from 1 species
GUCUCUACCUCCGAAGAGAGCCCCCUGCCCUCUAGUCCUGGAUCGGAGGACACUACGCCGUCGACAGGCAGAGUCGCUCACCCCUGAGCUCGCAUGACCAGGACCAACAGGUUGCCGGGAGGGGACGACAAACACAACGACCGCACCAGGCAGCCGCACCACCGAGCAUCGCCAACGCCGCGCGCCGGCGCCAACAUCAACCGCAAGUGGCCGAGCAUGGACACCACUGACGAUAUCCGGCAGCCACCUCCCAUGCCAAGGCCUCGACCAACACUCCGUCGCACCAAGGUGGUGUCUUCAAGAAGAAAAACGACGCCGGGGCGCCGUCACCACCCAAUCCGGAGAUUUGGGGCUUUCAGCCGGGACGAGGAAGGGAGGGCGAGGGGGGGAUUGCGAAGCCGCCUUCAAGAAGGGGAACGACGCCGGAGCGCCGCCGGCAUCGUGGCCGCAGAGAACAGCCAAGGGGUUUCCCCCAAUCCAUCCCCCGAGAGGAAGCACCAUCGCCAGAUCUGCUCCCAGGGCAAACGGGGAAGCCCCAGGAGCCAGCCACGCUCGCCGCCGAUCCGCCGCCCACGCGGCCAGGAGCGGCGCACCCCGCAUCUGCAUCAGCCACCCGCCGAAGGGGGGCCGACGCGCUCCACCAAUGGCCGCCGCCACCACGCCAGGCGCCACCGCGCAGAACAGAGCACACCAAGCCCAACACACCGCCGCCAGGCACCGGCCCCGCCACCGUUGUCCGCCGCCGCGCCGUCACGCCCUCGGCCAGCGCCAUGCCGCCGCCCGCUGACCCCGACCCGCGUCGGCCCUAGUGAGCAGGGGGAAGGAAGGCCCCGCCGCCGCCGAGGCUGACCGGGCUUCGCCCGUCAGCGCGAGCCGGCGGCGGCGAGGGAGGAGUCGAGGAGGAGGGGGGCCUGUUACCGGCGGCUAGGGUUUCCCCUCCGCGUCGCCCGCAGGAGCGACCGGGAGGGGAGG